rnacentral:tmRNA from 1 species
GGGGGCGUAAUGGUUUCGACGGAAUUGUGAAGGUUAAGCUAAGCAUGUCGCAGGCUCGUCUGCGUUAAAACGGAAAAUUAAAAUUUAAAUGCAGAAAACAAAACUGUUUUAGCCGCUGCUUAAUUUAGCGUUACGGCUUGUCCUUGUAAAUUUUCCUACGGAUUUAUUUAGGGCAUUAGAGUUGUAGGGAACAAAUUAAAACUUUGCCCACUGGUUUUAAUUGGUUAAAAAAUGGGCUUGUUAAAUUUAUAUUUGUUAAUUUUUUUAAAUUUAACGAAAUUUUCAAAUUAACUAAGCAUGUAGAAGGGUUUAAAAUUUCUUUUUCGGACGCGGGUUCAACUCCCGCCGCUUCCACCA